GAGUUGUCAUUAAUAUUCACCGAGCUAAGCUGCUUGACUCUGGUUGGCUAACAGCUAGCCAAUGAGAGCCUGGCUAUCAGCAUUCACCACCAUCCCAACC